rnacentral:rRNA from 1 species
AAUGAACGUUGGCGGCGUGGAUUAGGCAUGCAAGUCGCGCGGGUGUAGCAAUACAUCAGCGGCGAAAGGGACAGUAAUAUAUCGAUCAUCUGCCCUCAGGACGGGAAUAGUGGCGGGAAACUGCCGGUAAUGCCCGAUAAUGUCCUCGGACCAAAGGUGUGAGUCCGCCUGAGGAUGAGUCGAUAUCCUAUUAGCUUGUUGGUGAGGUAACGGCUCACCAAGGCGAUGAUGGGUAGCGGGUGUGAGAGCACGACCCGCGUCAUUGGGACUGAGACACUGCCCAGACACCUACGGGAGGCAG